GAUGAACGCUGGCGGCGUGCCUAAUACAUGCAAGUCGAGCGAACAGAUGAGGAUCUUGCUCCUCUCACGUUAGCCGCGGACGGGUGUGUAACACGUGUAUAACCUACCUAUAUGACUGGUAUAACUUCGGGAAACCGGAUCUUAUACCGUAUAAUCUCCUGCUCCGCAUUGUUCAAUAGUGAAAUUCGGCUUUGCUGGCUCUUCUCGCUGGUUCUCGGCUGCUUUAGCUAGUUGUGACGUUAAAGGCUUACCAAGGCUACCAUGCGUAGCCGACGUGAGAGAGUGAUAGGCCACACUGGAGCUGAGACACGGUCCAGACUCCUGCGGGAGGCAGCAGUAGGGAAUCUUCCGCAAUGGGCGAAAGCCUGACGGAGCAACGCCGAGUGAGUGAUGAAGGUCUUCGGAUCGUGAAGCUCUGUUAUUAGGGAAGAACAGAUGUGGAAGGAACUGUGCACGUAGUGACGGUACCUGAUCAGAAAGCCACGGCUAACUACGUG
rnacentral:rRNA from 1 species